rnacentral:rRNA from 1 species
GUAGCUGGCUAGGUCAGUCCCUUGUUAAAUCCACCGAAUUAAUCGUUGGAUUGCGGGGGAUACUGCUUGGCUAGGGGACGAGAGAGGCAGACGGUAUUUUCGGGGUAGGGGUGAAAUCCUAUAAUCCCGGGAAGACCACCAGUGGCGAAGGCUGUCUGCUAGAACGCGCCCGACGGUGAGGGAUGAAAGCUGGGGGAGCGAACCGGAUUAGAUACCCGGGUAGUCCCAGCUGUAAACGAUGCAGACUAGGUGUUUGGACGGCCACGUGCCGUUCUAGUGCCGCAGGGAAGCUGUUAAGUCUGCCGCCUGGGGAGUACGAUCGCAAGAUUGAAACUUAAAGGAAUUGGCGGGGGAGCACCACAAGGGGUGAAGCUUGCGGUUUAAUUGGAGUCAACGCCGGAAAUCUCACCGGGAGCGACAGCAGUAUGAAGGCCAGAUUAAAGGUCUUGCCAGACGAGCUGAGAGGAGGUGCAUGGCCGUCGCCAGUUCGUGCCGUGAGGUGUCCUGUUAAGUCAGGCAACGAUCGAGACCCGCGUCCUCUGUUGCAACCAGCUUUGAGCUGGGCACACUGAGGAGACCGCCACUGAUAAAGUGGAGGAAGGAGCGGGCCACGGC